CCUACGGGAGGCAGCAGUGGGGAAUAUUGCACAAUGGGGGCAAGCCUGAUGCAGCAAUGCCGCGUGGGGGAAGAAGGACUUCGGUGUGUAAAGUCCUUUUAUCAGGGAAGAAAAUGACAGCACCUGCACAAUAAUCUCCGGCUAAUUACUUGCCAGCAGCCGCGGCAAUACGGAGGGGGCAAGCGUGAUCCGGAUGUACUGGGUGUAAGGGGAGCGCAGUCGGGGUGGUAAGUCAGAUGUGAAAUCCCGGGGCCCAACCCCGAGAGUGCAUUUGAAACUGCCAUUCUGGAGUGCCGGAGAGGUAAGCGGAAUGCGUAGUGUAGCGGUGAAAUGCGUAGAUAUUAGGAAGAACACCAGUGGCGAAGGCAGCUUACUGGACGGUAACUGACGCUGAGGCUCGAAAGCGUGGGGAGCAAACAGGAUUAGAUACCCGGGUAGUC
rnacentral:rRNA from 1 species